rnacentral:rRNA from 1 species
GACGAACGCUGGCGGCGUGCUUAACACAUGCAAGUCGAACGGAAAGGCCCUGCUUUUGUGGGGUGCUCGAGUGGCGAACGGGUGAGUAACACGUGAGUAACCUGCCCUUGACUUUGGGAUAACUUCAGGAAACUGGGGCUAAUACCGGAUAGGAGCUCCUGCUGCAUGGUGGGGGUUGGAAAGUUUCGGCGGUUGGGGAUGGACUCGCGGCUUUUCAGCUUGUUGGUGGGGUAGUGGCUUACCAAGGCUUUGACGGGUAGCCGGCCUGAGAGGGUGACCGGCCACAUUGGGACUGAGAUACGGCCCAGCCUCGUACGGGAGGCAGAAGUGGGGAAUAUUGCACAAUGGGCGGAAGCAUGAUGCAGAAACGCCGCGUGCGGGAUGACGGCCUUCGGGUUGUAAACCGCUGUCGCCUGUGACGAAGCGUGAGUGACGGUGAUGGGUAAAGAAGCACCGGCUAACUACGUG